ensembl:lncRNA
CGUCUUCCUGCACUGCUGGCUCCUGACAUUUUUCACGUGGUGCUGCAUGAGGAUCGUCAUAAGUCUCUCCAUUAGGGUUAUGUAGGCGUCCAUCUGGCAGAGCAGGUCGAGAGCAUUUAUGUUGUCCGUUUCCUCUGUUCCAGAGGAAGCUGGGUCCACUUGUCCCGUUCCCUGGAAGUGAGAGAGCAUGGGCACAGUGAAAGGGAGGCAGGCUUGUUUUGCAGAGUAUCACCCUGCAGGGCUCCGACUGGUGUGGAGCAUUUCCAGCCUCGCAGGACUGCUCAGGGCAGCCCGUGGGGCUCACACUGCCUGUGGCACACCCUGUGUUGCUCAGGGGUCUCCCACUGUGUGACAGCCCUGUGGCUGGGCAAGUGCCUGGGGAGAGCCAACGGAUCUCUGGGGGUCUGCUUUUGUUGGAUGUCUUCAAGUAUAUGGCCUUUAUGGUUCCCUGCUCCCCAGCCACGGUACCCUCCCUGCCCGAUGUAUCUUGAUUGCUCACCUGUCCCCGAGGUCUUCUUAAUCUUCUCCAGUGGGCACGGGCAGUUGUCAGCAGCCAGAGAAUGGAGAAAAUUGUCGAGGGAGCUGUAAGGAGCCAGGUGCUCCCUCUUUGCAUAAGGUAGUCCCAAAGGUGGCCCAGGAUGCCAGGCAAGCUGUAGGCCUUCUGCUUGGUGCCUGGGGCCUGCUGCUUUGGGCCUUGUGGAACAGCAACUUUGCUGCCCUUGUACCAGACCCAUAGGGGGCAUUGGGAAGAGCCAAGCAAGCAGGACCAGUAUGAGGUUUGGCUCUUGGUUUUCUCUGUAUGCUGCUCCUCAGGAAGGACCUGGUUUGUCUUCGUGUCCUUGGUCCCGAUGGGGCAGGAUGUCAGGCCAAACAAGCAGCGCCAGGUGGAGGUCUGCCUCUUGGUCUCCUCUGUACGCUGCUCCUCAGGAAGGGCCUGGUUGUCCUUCCUG